AUUGUGGCUAGAGUUGGAAUAGCUAACCAGCUCGAAAGGUAGUAAACCCUAUAUACUAUUUGCCACAUUUCUUAAUCAAUAGGG
rnacentral:sRNA from 1 species